UCAGUAACUUCAUCAUCACUAUGCCCAGCACCGACCAUAAGCCCUAACUUCCCUAAUCAACAUAAAAGGGGACACAAACGGCAGCAGGAGGUCCCGGCGUUCAACUUCUGGUCUCGUUCGCGGUGCUGUCGGCGACGGGGCGGUGUUCCCUUUCAAAGGCGUCGGCGCGGUGCUCUCCUUCGUGGUCAUCAUCUCCACGGACGCUGCUCCACGGCUUCUCCUCUCCUGUCUUGGCCCCAAGUACGCGGUCACCUUUGAGAAACCCUUCUCGUUCUUCCUCUUCUUCCCCUGUCUCACCUCCUCCUCUUCGCAGCUUCACUCUCUCCGAUCAAUGCUUCUGCCGUCGUAGCUCACCAAAGAAAGAUUGCUUCGGAGGAGUUUAAGGAACAUUGGUGGACAUUCUAGAACUUGAAGAUUGCAAUUUGUUGAGCCAUGACUCUCGUGAGAAAAAAGAGAACAAAGAGGAACCAAAUCAAGCUGAAAUGUUUGUUGCAACUCGGAAUGGACUAAAAGGGAAAACACUUGAUGUAGAAACACAGGCUGUUAUUGAUAAACUUGAUGAUCUCCAAGAAGCUGGAGAAACUCCUUCUAAUGCAUUUCAAAAAGUUUUUAGUAAAGAGAAUCCAGGAAGAGUUCGAUGUUUUGGAAGAACUGUUACAAAAGCUUCUCUUAAGAAAAAUAAAGAAAUAGAUGAAAUAAAAAAACAAAGUGAAGAGAAGGUAACAGCUUUAAAAACUGAAUUAGAUGACCAUAAGCAACGACUGCAAGGAUUGGAAGAUAUUGUGAAACUUAUGCUGCAACAAACUUCUCCUGGUAUGAAUGUUGAUGAAGCGCUUUCUCUCUUGCGAUCUAAGCAAUCGUCUGCAAAUAGUGCACAAGAUCCAAAUUUAGUUCCUCGGCAUUCUCCUCCAUCGACUCAUAUUCCAAAUCAUGAUUAGCUUUCUUAUUGUUGGAUGAAGUUCUCUGAAGACAUAAAGGCAAUUCUUGGCGCAAUGGUGAAGCACCAAGUCUUUUUGGUUUCAAGUCGAAAACUUAGUUUCUUUUUGGUUUAAGUUCGUCAUCAGAAAAACAUGUAUUUUGUUUACUUAUGUUUAUUACUUAUUUGACUUAGUAAUUUGGCAAGUAUGUUAAUUGGCACUUGGUAGACCUUUCUAUAUAUAUACAAUCUAUAUUAUUAGCUUAUU